GGAUUACCAUGAUCUCAAGCAAAACCUUGGACUGUUUUACUGAACUUUUGGAGGACUUUUGGACCUACUAGACAGCACUCAUUUCAUAGCAUUAUGGGAUAAUUAAGGUUGGAAAUUACUUCAGGAAGGGAUUAUCCAUCUCUACGUAGAAGCUGUUGGACCUCACCUGAAGUACUGUGCCUGGUCUGUCUGUCUCAAUUAUUGAAGUGCCCACCUGGAAGACCUUGGGAAUGCCAUUUACAGAGUUAGGCUUCAGAAGUUUUCAUCACUCUCUAUAAGCUCUUUCAGAAGGUUUUCACCCUGACAUAAGGUAGCAUUGA